rnacentral:rRNA from 1 species
AUGGCACAACUACUCGGCAAGUUGCCCCUGCAGUUCAGGGGCAAGCAGGUCAUAGAGGACAUGGCACUGGCUAUGUUCAACCGUGCCCUGAAGCUUUCUGGACCAGGUCUACAAGUCAUGGGUGUUGGAUUUACUGGGUCACUCGCUAGCUCACACCCAAAACAUGGUGACCACAGGAUAGUCAAGGAAGAGGAAAAUGCAUUAUAA